AGCGAACGCUGGCGGCAGGCCUAACACAUGCAAGUCGAACGGAUCCUUCGGGAUUAGUGGCGGACGGGUGAGUAACACGUGGGAACGUGCCCUUUGGUUCGGAACAACUCAGGGAAACUUGAGCUAAUACCGGAUGUUCCCUUCGGGGGAAAGAUUUAUCGCCAUUGGAGCGGCCCGCGUCUGAUUAGCUAGUUGGUGAGGUAAAGGCUCACCAAGGCGACGAUCAGUAGCUGGUCUGAGAGAAUGAUCAGCCACAUUGGGACUGAGACACGGCCCAAACUCCUACGGGAGGCAGCAGUGGGGAAUCUUGCGCAAGGGGCGAAAGCCUGACGCAGCCAUGCCGCGUGAAUGAUGAAGGUCUUAGGAUUGUAAAAUUCUUUCACCGGGGACGAUAAUGACGGUACCCGGAGAAGAAGCCCCGGCUAACUUCGUGCCAGCCGCCGCAGUAAGAC
rnacentral:rRNA from 1 species